CUUUUGUUCGGUUAGGACUUAGUUGAAUUUUCGUGUCGGGGCGAAGCGUCUGCCUCUGUAUUUUCUAAGUGUCAAGUUCUCGUUCAGUGCUUUUCGUUCCAUCAUGUGUGAUCCUGAUUGAAAUAAUACAGUCAGGUGUCUCGUCAGUUAUCUCGUCAGUUUGUGGAAAAGAAAUGCAUCGAAGACCACGCGUGAACAAUCUACGCAGCAAACAAAAACCCGGCUGGACCCACCGACAAUGUGUGUGUACGCGAAACAAUGUGUUCGACGGGAUGCCUCUAUACCGCCACCAACGCAGCAUAGCGCCAGGAAUGCACGAAUAGGUAGGGAAGUGAAACCGUGAAAUAGACGAGUGAGCGAAAGAGACGAAAAAAAAAACCGAAAAUAAACCGAAAAUCGA